rnacentral:rRNA from 1 species
UACGUAGGGUGCAAGCGUUAAUCGGAAUUAUUGGGCGUAAAGGGUGCGCAGGCGGAUGUAUAAGUCAGAUGUGAAAUCCCCGGGCUUAACCUGGGAAUUGCGUUUGAAACUAUAUGACUAGAGUGUGAUAGAGGGGAGUGGAAUUCCAUGUGUAGCAGUGAAAUGCGUAGAGAUGUGGAAGAACACCGAUGGCGAAGGCACUCCCUGGAUUAACACUGACGCUCAUGCACGA